AUUUACUUAAAAACACAUAAAACCAGUCCACAAGUUGGGGAAGGUCUAAUUAUUUAUGUUACAUUACAACCUGUUUGCACAAUAAACAAUAAAGAGUGAUUAAUACAUAAUAUUAAUAUAAUAAUGUGUAAAAUGCUUCAGAAUCUUACAUAUGGAGCCUUUAAAUGACAACCUCAGCAUUAUUUACUCGAGCAAAAAGUAGCUGUGUGCCUCCCCAGAGUUGCCCUCACUAAUCCUCUGAAAACACAGAAACACCUGCACACACGCUGUGAUUUCUCAUCAUCAUGUUACCCACUCCGCCCGCCUGCACUCGUUUCCACAUUUCCACAGUGCGUCAAAGGAAAGGGGGGCUGUGGAAGGUGAUAGGCUACAAUAAUCACCACCGCCACCACCACCAUCAUCAUCAUCAUCAUCAUCAGAAAAGCACACACAUUCACACACAUGCGGGGACAUGUUUACACACACAGUUCAUCGGGAGCCAGAGUGGGUUUUUCUUUUCCCCUGGGCUGGCAGGCUUCAGGGAGGAGGAGAGCUGAAAGUCAACAUUUCCAGGGUGAAGCGCUGCCUGAGAAAAGUCACCCUGUUCCACGCUCACUGCGAGGGUCACCACGAAAGGUUUACAGUUCACCCACCGUGUCCAGACUUGUCACAGUUUCCAUGUUUGAGCCGCAGUGUCGACCAGUUGCUGCUCUCUUUCUGUGUCUCUCUGCCGUGUCAGAGGAGCCUUGGCCCCCGAACUCAUUCUCCAGUCCCCUCACCACCUCCUCCUCCACCCUGGGGAACGUUUUCUGUGAGCGAUGAAGAAACUAAUAAACAGACUCUCGCAGUGAUCCAUGUCACAUUGUUUGGCCCACCUGCAACCUGUAAACUCCUCACCAUGGACUGGAUGUUCUCAAUUUGUUCCACGAGGAGGCCCUGGCUUAUAUUAGCCUAAAGGGGGCACUGGAAGAGCAUCUGGUCCGAGCGGCAUGCAGUAAAUACAGCAGCACGCUCGCUGGCUCUGGGUUCAGUUUCAAGUCAAUUAACGAGUCCCAGAAAAAAAACCACAAGACGGGGAGCAGAACUUAUGUCACAGAGCGGGGCAGAUCAGGGCACAAUGAAGGUUUUAAGUGCUCGAACAUUUCGAGGGCUGGAGUGAAAAGCAAAAAGGAGUUCUUGGUGUAGUCAUUUCCAAGAAGUGGGGCCCUUAGUUCAUCAGACGAACAGAAAUAAACAGUUAAAAAAAUCUCUGUGCUAUUGCUUGGAGAGCACUGAG
rnacentral:lncRNA from 15 species